rnacentral:rRNA from 1 species
UACGAAGGGGGCUAGCGUUGUUCGGAUUUACUGGGCGUAAAGCGCACGUAGGCGGCUCGUUAAGUCGGGGGUGAAAUCCUGGAGCUCAACUCCAGAACUGCCUUCGAUACUGGCGAUCUUGAGUCCGGAAGAGGUGAGUGGAACUCCUAGUGUAGAGGUGGAAUUCGUAGAUAUUAGGAAGAACACCAGUGGCGAAGGCGACUCACUGGCCCGAUACUGACGCUGAGGCGCGAAAGCGUGGGGAGCAAACAGG